rnacentral:rRNA from 1 species
AUGUUCCAGUUUCGAUUGCAGGGCUUCGAGAUGCACCAUGAGGAUCUGACUGUUAGACUUGCGAAGCUAGCAACCUAUGAUCAGAUUAAGGCUGCCAUCAAGGAAGAGUCUGAGGGAAACGUCAAGGGCAUUUUGGGUUACGUUGAUGAGGACCUUGUUUCCACUGACUUCCAGGGUGACAACAGGUCCAGCAUCUUUGAUGCCAAGGCCGGGAUUGCCCUGAACGACAACUUUGUCAAGCUUGUCUCCUGGUACGACAAUGAGUGGGGAUACAGCACCCGCGUUGUCGACCUCAUCCGUCACAUGCACAGCACCAAGUAA